GUCACUUUGCCGGAGUGGUUAACGGGAUCGCCUGCUAUGACAUGCAUUACGUAAGCGGUUGUGCUUUGCACGCGAGUGUUCGAGUCGCUCAGGUGACG